UCUCUGGUUGUUCAAAGGCUAAGACUCUGGGCUUGCAGUGCAGGGGCCCAGGUUCGAUCCCUGGUCAGGGAA
rnacentral:tRNA from 1 species